UGGGGUAUAUUGGACAAUGGGCGAAAGCCUGAUCCAGCCAUGCCGCGUGUGUGAAGAAGGUCUUCGGAUUGUAAAGCACUUUAAGUUGGGAGGAAGGGCAGUAAGCGAAUACCUUGCUGUUUUGACGUUACCGACAGAAUAAGCACCGGCUAACUCUGUGCCAGCAGCCGCGGUAAUACAGAGGGUGCAAGCGUUAAUCGGAAUUACUGGGCGUAAAGCGCGCGUAGGUGGUUCGUUAAGUUGAAUGUGAAAGCCCCGGGCUCAACCGGGGAACUGCAGGCAAGACUGGCGGGCUUGAGUAGGGCAGGGGGUGGUGGAAUUUCCUGUGUAGCGGUGAAAUGCGUAGAUAUAGGAAGGAAAACCAGUGGCGAAGGCGACCACCUGGGCGCAUACUGACACUGAGGUGCGAAAGCGUGGGGAGCAAACAGG
rnacentral:rRNA from 1 species